rnacentral:rRNA from 1 species
ACCUGCGAAGGACAUUA